rnacentral:rRNA from 1 species
UAGGGAAUCUUCGGCAAUGGGGGCAACCCUGACCGAGCAACGCCGCGGGAGGGAAGAAGGUUUUCGGAUCGUAAAGCUCUGUUGUAAGAGAAGAACGUGUGUGAGAGUGGAAAGUUCACACAGUGACGGUAACUUACCAGAAAGGGACGGGUAACUACGUGCCAGCAGCCGCGGUAAUACGUAGGUCCCGAGCGUUGUCCGGAUUUAUUGGGCGUAAAGCGAGCGCAGGCGGUUUAAUAAGUCUGAAGUUAAAGGCAGUGGCUUAACCAUUGUUCGCUUUGGAAACUGUUAAACUUGAGUGCAGAAGGGGAGAGUGGAAUUCCAUGUGUAGCGGUGAAAUGCGUAGAUAUAUGGAGGAACACCGGUGGCGAAAGCGGCUCUCUGGUCUGUAACUGACGCUGAGGCUCGAAAGCGUGGGGAGCAAACAGG